AGCGAACGCUGGCGGCAGGCCUAACACAUGCAAGUCGAACGAACCUUUCGGGGUUAGUGGCGGACGGGUGUGUAACACGUGGGAACGUGCCUUUAGGUUCGGCAUAACUCAGGGAAACUUGUGCUAAUACCGAAUGUGUCCUCCGGGGGAAAGAUUUAUCGCCUUUAGAGCGGCCCGCGUCUGGUUAGCUAGUUGGUUGAGGUAAUGGCUCACCAAGGCGACGAUCAGUAGCUGGUCUGAGAGGAUGAUCAGCCACAUUGGGACUGAGACACGGCCCAAACUCCUACGGGAGGCAGCAGUGGGGAAUCUUGCGGAAUGGGCGAAAGCCUGACGCAGCCAUGCCGCGUGAAUGAUGAAGGUCUUAGGAGUGUAAAAUUCUUUAACCGGGGACGAGAAUGACGGUACCCGGAGAAGAAGCCCCGGCUAACUUCGUG
rnacentral:rRNA from 1 species